rnacentral:rRNA from 1 species
UACCCGAGUGGCGAACGGGUGAGUAACACGUGGGUGAUCUGCCCUGCACUUCGGGAUAAGCCUGGGAAACUGGGUCUAAUACCGGAUAGGACGAUGGUUUGGAUGCCAUUGUGGAAAGUUUUUUCGGUGUGGGAUGAGCUCGCGGCCUAUCAGCUUGUUGGUGGGGUAAUGGCCUACCAAGGCGUCGACGGGUAGCCGGCCUGAGAGGGUGUACGGCCACAUUGGGACUGAGAUACGGCCCAG